GUGAAUCAUCAAAUUUUUGAACGCAAAUUGCACUCUCCUCGGAGAGUAUGCCUGUUUGAGGGUCAGCCUAUAAAAAUUGACAUUGUUGGUGUUUUGCGGUGGAGUUCGUUGGGAAUUGGGGUAAUUUUAAUCCUUUUGGUUUUAGCGCCUUAUAAUUUUUUUUUGGUUUUAUGAACGUUUUUACGAUCUAUUUUUUUAUACGUU
rnacentral:misc_RNA from 1 species